rnacentral:tRNA from 1 species
GCAGUCGUGGCCGAGUGGUUAAGGUGAUAGACUAGAAAUCCAUUGGAGUCGCCCGGCACAGGUUCGAAUCCUACCAACUCG